CCUACGGGUGGCUGCAGUGGGGAAUAUUGGACAAUGGGCGCAAGCCUGAUCCAGCCAUGCCGCGUGAGUGAUGAAGGUCUUCGGAUUGUAAAACUCUUUCGCCGGGGAAGAUAAUGACGGUACCCGGAGAAGAAGCUCCGGCUAACUUCGUGCCAGCAGCCGCGGUAAUACGAAGGGAGCUAGCGUUGUUCGGAAUUACUGGGCGUAAAGCGCACGUAGGCGGAUUUUUAAGUCAGGGGUGAAAUCCCAAGGCUCAACCUUGGAACUGCCUUUGAUACUGGAAGUCUCGAGAUCGGGAGAGGUGAGUGGAAUUCCUAGUGUAGAGGUGAAAUUCGUAGAUAUUAGGAAGAACACCAGUGGCGAAGGCGGCUCACUGGCCCGAUACUGACGCUGAGGUGCGAAAGCGUGGGGAGCAAACAGGAUUAGAUACCCGGGUAGUC
rnacentral:rRNA from 1 species